rnacentral:rRNA from 1 species
CUAGGGGGGGCCCCCCCUAGAGUUUGAAUCGUGGCUCAGCACGAACGCUGGCGGCGUGCUUAACACAUGCAAGUCGAACGAUGAUGCCCAGCUUGCUGUGUAGAUUAGUGCCGAACGGGUGAGUAACACGUGAGUAACCUGCCCUUGAGUUCGGGAUAACUCCGCGAAACCGCGGCUAAUACCGGAUAUGAGCCGUCCUCGCAUGGGGGUGGUUGGAAAGUUUUUCGGUCAGGGAUGGGCUCGCGGCCUAUCAGCUUGUUGGUGGGGUGAUGGCCUACCAAGGCGACGACGGGUAGCCGGCCUGAGAGGGCGACCGGCCACACUGGGACUGAGACACGGCCCAGACUCCUACGGGAGGCAGCAGUGGGGAAUAUUGCACAAUGGGCGAAAGCCUGAUGCAGCGACGCCGCGUGAGGGAUGAAGGCCUUCGGGUUGUAAACCUCUUUCAGCAGGGAAGAAGCGCAAGUGACGGUACCUGCAGAAGAAGCGCCGGCUAACUACGUGCCAGCAGCCGCGGUAAUACGUAGGGCGCAAGCGUUGUCCGGAAUUAUUGGGCGUAAAGAGCUCGUAGGCGGUUUGUCGCGUCUGGUGUGAAAACUCGAGGCUCAACCUCGAGCUUGCAUCGGGUACGGGCAGACUAGAGUGCGGUAGGGGAGACUGGAAUUCCUGGUGUAGCGGUGGAAUGCGCAGAUAUCAGGAGGAACACCGAUGGCGAAGGCAGGUCUCUGGGCCGCAACUGACGCUGAGGAGCGAAAGCAUGGGGAGCGAACAGGAUUAGAUACCCUGGUAGUCCAUGCCGUAAACGUUGGGCACUAGGUGUGGGGCUCAUUCCACGAGUUCCGUGCCGCAGCAAACGCAUUAAGUGCCCCGCCUGGGGAGUACGGCCGCAAGGCUAAAACUCAAAGGAAUUGACGGGGGCCCGCACAAGCGGCGGAGCAUGCGGAUUAAUUCGAUGCAACGCGAAGAACCUUACCAAGGCUUGACAUGCACGAGAAGCCACCAGAGAUGGUGGUCUCUUUGGACACUCGUGCACAGGUGGUGCAUGGUUGUCGUCAGCUCGUGUCGUGAGAUGUUGUGGUUAAGUCCCGCAACGAGCGCAACCCUCGUCCCAUGUUGCCAGCGGGUUAUGCCGGGGACUCAUGGGAGACUGCCGGGGUCAACUCGGAGGAAGGUGGGGAUGACGUUCAAAUCAUCAUGCCCCUUAUGUCUUGGGCUUCACGCAUGCUACAAUGGCCGGUACAAAGCGGCUGGCGAUACCGGUAAGGUGCACCCCAAUCUCAAAAGGCCGGUUCUCAGGUUCGGAUUGGCCCUCUGGCGAGGUCUUACCCCGUUAGGAACGCAAGUCUACUAGCAAUCGGCACGAG